CAGUCGAACGGAGCGCCUAUGAAGGAGAUUUCGGUCAACGGAAUAGGUUGCUCAGUGGCGGACGGGUGAGUAACGCGUGAGGAACCUGCCUUUCAGAGGGGGACAACAGUUGGAAACGACUGCUAAUACCGCAUAACACAUAGGUGUCGCAUGGCAUUUAUGUCAAAGAUUUAUCGCUGAAAGAUGGCCUCGCGUCUGAUUAGCUAGUUGGUGAGGUAACGGCUCACCAAGGCGACGAUCAGUAGCCGGACUGAGAGGUUGGCCGGCCACAUUGGGACUGAGAUACGGCCCAGACUCCUACGGGAGGCAGCAGUGGGGAAUAUUGGGCAAUGGGCGCAAGCCUGACCCAGCAACGCCGCGUGAAGGAAGAAGGCUUUCGGGUUGUAAACUUCUUUUGACAGGGAAGA
rnacentral:rRNA from 1 species